GACGAACGCUGGCGGCGUGCCUAACACAUGCAAGUCGAGCGAUGAAACCCUUCGGGGUGGAUUAGCGGCGGACGGGUGAGUAACACGUGGGUAACCUGCCCCAAAGAGGGGGAUAGCCUCCCGAAAGGGAGAUUAAUACCGCAUAACAUUAGUUUUUCGCAUGGAGAACUAAUUAAAGGAGUAAUCCGCUUUGAGAUGGACCCGCGGCGCAUUAGCUAGUUGGUGAGGUAAAGGCUCACCAAGGCGACGAUGCGUAGCCGACCUGAGAGGGUGAUAGGCCACAUUGGAACUGAGACACGGUCCAGACUCCUACGGGAGGCAGCAGUGGGGAAUAUUGCACAAUGGGCGAAAGCCUGAUGCAGCAACGCCGCGUGAGUGAUGAAGGCCUUCGGGUUGUAAAGCUCUGUCUUUUGGGACGAUAAUGACGGUACCAAAGGAGGAAGCCACGGCUAACUACGUGCCAGCCGCCGCAGUAAUAC
rnacentral:rRNA from 1 species